UACGUAGGGGGCAAGCGUUGUCCGGAUUUAUUGGGCGUAAAGAGCGUGUAGGCGGCCACACAGGUCUGCUGUGAAAACUCGAGGCUCAACCUCGAGCUGUCGGUGGAAACCGUGUGGCUAGAGUCCGGAAGAGGAGAGUGGAAUUCCCGGUGUAGCGGUGAAAUGCGCAGAUAUCGGGAAGAACACCCGUGGCGAAGGCGGCUCUCUGGGCAGUAACUGACGCUGAGGAGCGAAAGCGUGGGGAGCGAACAGG
rnacentral:rRNA from 1 species